UUGACCUCGGAUCAGGUAGGGAUACCCGCUGAACUUAAGCAUAUCAAUAAGCGGAGGAAAAGAAACCAACAGGGAUUGCCCUAGUAACGGCGAGUGAAGCGGCAACAGCUCAAAUUUGAAAUCUGGCGCAAGCCCGAGUUGUAAUUUGUAGAGGAUGCUUCGGGGCAGCGACCGGUCUAAGUUCCUUGGAACAGGACGUCAGAGAGGGUGAGAAUCCCGUAUGUGACCGGCCCGCGCCCUGCACGUAGCUCCUUCGACGAGUCGAGUUGUUUGGGAAUGCAGCUCUAAAUGGGAGGUAAAUUUCUUCUAAAGCUAAAUACCGGCCAGAGACCGAUAGCGCACAAGUAGAGUGAUCGAAAGAUGAAAAGUACUUUGGAAAGAGAGUUAAAAAGCACGUGAAAUUGUUGAAAGGGAAGCGCCUGCAACCAGACUUCGCGGCAGUGUUCCGCCGGUCUUCUGACCGGUUCAUUCUCUGCCGUGAGGCCAUCAUCGUCUGGGCCCGCCGGAUAAGACCUUGGGAAUGUAGCUCACCUCCGGGGGAGUGUUAUAGCCCAGGGUGAUGCGGCGCGGCUCGGGCGAGGUCC
rnacentral:rRNA from 1 species